AAGGAAGUCUUUCUUCUUUCUGUUGGGCUCCACUAUCGCCAGGGGGCAUGGGCCCUCCCCAUCCUGGCCUCUCACCUGUUUUCACUGAGUGGAGAAGCCUACCUUGAUUUAGGAGAUGUGGAGACAGAAGCUGGCAGCAGAAUAUGCUGCUGAAAGCAGAGACUUUCUGAGUUCCUCUGGCUGGGAGUCAGAGUCCUACAGAAACUGAACCAGGAAAAGGAAAACAGAAAGAUCAUCUGGUCUAGCUGACUCCGCUAGCUCAGAUCCUGGCUGGGGAAGAGAAUUUCAGUGCAGAAGAGAAAGGUGUAUGAAUUAUCUCCUCAAAUAGAAGAAAACACGUUCAUUUAAACAUGGAGUGCAAAGCAUGCAGCAGGAAUGCCAUAAAAAAAGAAGUGAUGAUUUCUCUCCUCAGUCACGUCAACUUCACUAAAUCACCUUCCAAAAUCUACAAAUCAAGUGCUCGCUUCAGCAGCACAUAUGCAAAAUCUACAAAUCAAAAAGACUCAAAUUGAUUGUUUAGAAUUCUUAUACCAAAAUCAGCAAUCAUUGGGUGAUAGUCCCCAAUGAUAUCACUGAGUGAUACAGGACCUCUGCUCAGACAAUCGUGCAUUCGUUCCAGUGGGUUUCAUGCUCUGUGACCUCCUUGCUUGAUGCAUCUCCACUCAGUAGAUAAGUGACUGCAGUGACAAAGGAACUGUGUUCUUACCAACAAUUAUCUGGGAUUAUCCAACACAGGGAAAGCUUUACUGCCCAUUGAAAUCACUUACUUGGAAAUUUAAAAACUUAAGUCAGGACAUCAUUUUUAAUAUAUAAUGAGUCUGUAUGUUCUCCUAUUUUGCAUGACAGUGCUCACUCAGUUGCAUUCUACUCUUUGCAGCCCCAUUUACUGUAGCCCACCAGGGUCCCAUGAAAUUGCCCAUGGAAUUUUCCAGGCAAGAAUAUAUACCCAACAGUAAAAUUCGAUUCAGAAUCAAGUACAGAAUGGAUGAGAUAACACUGAUGUACAGAUCCCUUCAAAACGUCACCUUUCAGCUAAGAAAAAAAUGUUGAGGUAUUAACUGGGUGGAGUUUAAAUUCUCUAUUUACUCAACUAGACCUAUAAAAUCUGAGUCUGCCUG